rnacentral:ncRNA from 1 species
CUUAUCAAGAGUGGCUGAGGGAACAGGCCCGAUGAAGCCCGACAACCUGCUGUACAGCAAGGUGCCAAGUCCUGCGGGGAACCGAAAGAUAAG